rnacentral:rRNA from 1 species
GACGAACGCUGGCGGCGUGCUUAACACAUGCAAGUCGAACGGAAAGGCCCUGCUUUUGUGGGGUGCUCGAGUGGCGAACGGGUGAGUAACACGUGAGUAACCUGCCCUUGACUUUGGGAUAACUUCAGGAAACUGGGGCUAAUACCGGAUAGGAGCUCCUGCUGCAUGGUGGGGGUUGGAAAGUUUCGGCGGUUGGGGAUGGACUCGCGGCUUAUCAGCUUGUUGGUGGGGUAGUGGCUUACCAAGGCUUUGACGGGUAGCCGGCCUGAGAGGGUGACCGGCCACAUUGGGACUGAGAUACGGCCCAGACUCCUACGGGAGGCAGCAGUGGGGAAUAUUGCACAAUGGGCGGAAGCCUGAUGCAGCAACGCCGCGUGCGGGAUGACGGCCUUCGGGUUGUAAACCGCUUUCGCCUGUGACGAAGCGUGAGUGACGGUAAUGGGUAAAGAAGCACCGGCUAACUACGUGCCAGCAGCCGCGGUGAUACGUAGGGUGCGAGCGUUGUCCGGAUUUAUUGGGCGUAAAGGGCUCGUAGGUGGUUGAUCGCGUCGGAAGUGUAAUCUUGGGGCUUAACCCUGAGCGUGCUUUCGAUACGGGUUGACUUGAGGAAGGUAGGGGAGAAUGGAAUUCCUGGUGGAGCGGUGGAAUGCGCAGAUAUCAGGAGGAACACCAGUGGCGAAGGCGGUUCUCUGGGCCUUUCCUGGCGCUGAGGAGCGAAAGCGUGGGGAGCGAACAGGCUUAGAUACCCUGGUAGUCCACGCUGUAAACGGUGGGUACUAGGUGUGGGGUCCAUUCCACGGGUUCCGUGCCGUAGCUAACGCUUUAAGUACCCCGCCUGGGGAGUACGGCCGCAAGGCUAAAACUCAAAGGAAUUGACGGGGCCCCGCACAAGCGGCGGAGCAUGCGGAUUAAUUCGAUGCAACGCGUAGAACCUUACCUGGGUUUGACAUGGAUCGGGAGUGCUCAGAGAUGGGUGUGCCUCUUUUGGGGUCGGUUCACAGGUGGUGCAUGCCUGUCGUCAGCUCGUGUCGUGAGAUGUUGGGUUAAGUCCCGCAACGAGCGCAACCCUUGUUCACUGUUGCCAGCACGUUAUGGUGGGGACUCAGUGGAGACCGCCGGGGUCAACUCGGAGGAAGGUGGGGAUGACGUCAAGUCCUCAUGCCCCUUAUGUCCAGGGCUUCACGCAUGCUACAAUGGCUGGUACAGAGAGUGGCGAGCCUGUGAGGGUGAGCGAAUCUCGGAAAGCCGGUCUCAGUUCGGAUUGGGGUCUGCAACUCGACCUCAUGAAGUCGGAGUCGCUAGUAAUCGCAGAUCAGCAACGCUGCGGUGAAUAAGUUCCCGGGGCU